rnacentral:misc_RNA from 1 species
UACGGAGGGCGCAAGCGUUGCUCGGAAUCAUUGGGCGUAAAGGGUACGCAGGCGGACUACCAAGUCGGGUGUGAAAGCCCAGGGCUCAACUCUGGAAUUGCAUUCGAAACUGGUAGUCUUGAGUACGGGAGAGGGAAGCGGAAUUCCUGGUGUAGAGGUGAAAUUCGUAGAUAUCAGGAGGAACACCCGUGGCGAAAGCGGCUUCCUGGCCCGAUACUGACGCUAAUGUACGAAAGCAUGGGUAGCAAACAGG